GCUUACGGCCAUACCAGCCUGGGUACGCCCGAUCUCGUUUGAUCUCGGAAGCUAAGCAGGGUCGGGCCUGGUUAGUACUUGGAUGGGAGACAGCCUGGGAAUACCAGGUGCUGUAAGCA
rnacentral:rRNA from 1 species